GCAUUGGUGGUUCAGUGGUAGAAUUUCGCCACGCCAUGCCGGAGCCCGGGUCCGAUUCCCGGCCAAUGCA
rnacentral:tRNA from 1 species